AUUGAACGCUGGCGGCAGGCUUAACACAUGCAAGUCGAGCGAGCGGCGGACGGGAGAGUAAUGUCUGGGAAACUGCCUGAAGGAGGGGGAUAACUCCUGGAAACGGUAGAUAAUACCGCAUACCUGCCAAUGGGCCCAGAUGGGAUUAGCCAGUAGGUGGGGUAAUGGCUCACCAAGGCGACGAUCCCUAGCUGGUCUGAGAGGAGGACCAGCCACACUGGAACUGAGACACGGUCCAGACUCCUACGGGAGGCAGCAGUGGGGAAUAUUGCACAAUGGGCGCAAGCCUGAUGCAGCCAUGCCGCGUGUGUGAAGAAGGCCUUCGGGUUGUAAAGCACUUUCGGCGAGGAGGCGUUACUCGCAGAAGAAGCAACGGCUAACUCCGUGCCAGCAGCCGCGGUAAUUC
rnacentral:rRNA from 1 species